CGAACGAUAUAGUGGCAGACGGGUGAGUAACGCGUGGGAACGUACCUUUCACUACGGAAUAGCUCUUGGAAACGAGUGGUAAUACCGUAUACGCCCUCCGGGGGAAAGAUUUAUCGGUGAAAGAUCGGCCCGCGUUAGAUUAGCUAGUUGGUAGGGUAAUGGCCUACCAAGGCGACGAUCUAUAGCUGGUCUGAGAGGACGAUCAGCCACACUGGAACUGAGACACGGUCCAGACUCC
rnacentral:rRNA from 1 species